GCUCUUAGUCAAGAUAAUCUGGAAAAGCCUGUAGAAAUUCCUAGUGGUAAUAAGACUGAUGGGGUGCCAUCCGAGCCGGGCAAUUCAGAAGGUGUAGAGGGAAGCAUCCCAAGCCCUGAUAAUGCAUCCCAAGCUUCCUCCAUUUCACCUGCUGAGGGUGUAGAAGAUAAUGCUUUGCAAUGUGGUGAAGAAGGGCGGGGGUCGGGUGAUGCAAUAUGUGGUCCUUUAUUUUUUUCGGAUGAUUCUCUCAAGGCAUCUGGGGCUUUGAUGCCUGGAUCAAAUGAGUCUGAGUUGGUAAUUUUAAGUCGGAUACAUCAUUCUCCUGAAAGUACACAUUGAGACAAUUUCUCUAUGUUCUUUAAUGCGUUUUGCGUAAAAGUUAUUGUUUGCUUUCCCAAUUUUUGUUGCUUCUCUUUUUAUCAAGGAAUAAAAGGAAAUCUGCUCUUUGGUUCCUCUGGACAAGGGGUUUUGUGAGCCAUUCAUGUCAUCUGCCAAUUACAAUUCCAUGCUUUCUUCUCAUCUUCUUCCAGCUUGCAUCAUUGUGCUUCGAUGAUCACAUGUUUGACAUCCAUGUUAGAGGCCUGCAUCAAAUAAUUUAUCUUUCAUGGAUACAAGGUGAGAAUUUUAGGUUGAUUUGCUUAAGAUCUGACUGCAUAUGCACAUCGAGUUUGUGAUCACUUGCAUUGGACAUUCUCGGGUGCUUUUCGCAUCACUGUUAUACAUGUCCUCGGAGAGCUUGGACGUGAUACUGCAAUGAUUUUUAGAAGUUCGUCAAUGUCAUGAUAUUCACCGUGUAUUCUGCUAGUAGUAAAAAGUACCUGCAUUUUCACUCACUAUGCACACAAGCUUUUCACGCCCAUUAUACAAGAUGGUUAGCGGCUAUGGAAAAGAUGAGUGUUUUCUUUGUUUUGCGGCCCCCUCUCAAUCCUCCUAGCAUCAAAAUUGGUAGAUUUAAAAAGGAAAAAAUCGAGGAAAAAGAGAUACAAGGAGGGAAAACAAGGUAUCCACCAGAAUAAUAAUGCACAGCAGGGGUUCUGGCUGGUUUUUGCUGCUGUGUUUGUUUUGUUAGCUAAUAAUCUCAUAGUUACUAAACCCAUCUUUGUGGGGAAUCCUGGUGACUGGAUGAUGUGAUUCAUGGAUCAAUUUGAUUAAUGAUUUUUUUAUAUUCAAAUCAACAUUGUUUAAUUAAGAAACCUAAUAAAUACAGAAUAAAAUAUUGUGUUUCACAAGUUAAUUUGCUGAAUUCAUAACUCGGUAUUUAAGUUCGGUCUAGCCGAUUCUUUGACAAUUUAUUAUUAUUAAUAUUAUUUUGUAGUCAUCGGUGGAAGUAACUCAAAAACCAUAUUAUUAGGCAAAUAUUGAGUUUUGACCUUUUUCUUUAGAUGAAAAAGAUUUUUUUGGCAGGUUUGGUUAACGUCUGCGGUGGUUCUCUUGCUGGAACUAAGAAACUCAUGCAAUUAUGAUACACUAAACUCCUCCAAGGUCCCUCGUGCUUUAUCCAUGUUUAUAAUUAACCUACGACAAACAUUAUAGACACAAAUUUAUUGACACUAUUCAGUGAAAUGGCGUCUUUGCUUCUGUUAACAAAAAUCAAAUACAGUGCUAAUUAAUCAUUAAAGAAUUGAUUGAGGGUAUGUGUUUCUUUAAUCACUUUAAAAUGAUCUAAUUGCCUUUCAAAUCAAACUAGCAAUGUCUUUUUAUUUUUUUAAAUACAUAAAAUGACAUUUAUAUUUGAAAAAAAAUAAAAAUAAAAUUAAAUCAUGUUUUUAGAGAUUUUUCGGUUUUUUUUUACUCAUUUGUUUUUGUUAUUACCAUCAAGAGUAUUUUAGUUUUUUAGCAAUGUUUAACUAUUAAUUAAAUUGAAAAAACUGUUGGCCUGUGCCAUGUACGAACUAAUAUUUGAUUUGUCGUAAAUGUACGUUACUUGGUUGCAAAAAAUGCCUUUCCAUCAUUUUGUUAGAAAAAUUGCCAUAUCCUCUUUUUCACAGUGUAACACAUGUCAAUGAUCGUGGAGUGAUUUGUCACCAAUGAGGCAUUCUUUUGUCUCUCAUCCCUUGAAAAUAAAAGGUUCCUCUUUUUUGUUGUUGAUAUUUAACUCCAGUUUUUUUUUUUAAUUUUUAAUUUUAUUUUUGGUUUUUUUAUAAAAAUUUUAUUUAUUUUCAAUUUUUUCCCAUCAAUUACAAUUUUUACAUAAAUUAUGUUUUUCAAGUUCGCCGUUAUUAUUUUGAUUUCUAAUUUUUUUUUCCCUUUAUAAAAUUCAUAUUGUUUCUCAAUUCAUAAUUCAAUCUAAAUUUAUGGUCCCUAUUUUUUUUUUUUUUUAUUAAAUUUAUUUUUAUUUUUAAUUUCACCCUUUAAUAAAAAAAAUUAUUUUUAUUUUUAUGUCAAUUUUAAUCUUCAUUCUUCUGAUUUUUUUUAUCCUUUUGUUAAAUUGAUUUAUUUUUUUUGCAGUUUCACCAUUCAGUCAAAUAUGAAAUUUAAUUUGCAUUUCAAUUUUAAUCUUUAUUUUUUAUUACUAUUUUUAAAUCCUUUUGUAUAAUUGAAAUUCUUUUUUUAUUUUCAUCCUUUAAUAUUUGAUAGAAUGAAAAUUGAGCUUCGUGUUUUUUUUUUUUUUCAUACAGGAUGCUUUGGGUCUGAUGAUCCUGGUUAAGAGUUUGAAAAGUUAACACGGAUUGAUAUUUUUUUAUAUAAAAAAUAGGCUUUAAAAUUCUAUUUAUUUUUUUAUCAGGUUAUUUUGAUCUUAUGGUUUGCGCUCCAAGUUUAACGAGAUUUUCCGUGUUGGCUCAACCUUAAUUACUAGGGUUAUAAAUUUGUCAUAUUAACUCGAGUUUAUCAAGAUUGAUUUAUUUAGAUCUUGUUUUACUUAAUUUUAUAAUUUUAUAUUUAAUGGGCUAUGGAUUAAGUCACAUCAUUUGUCCCCUUUUAAAAACAUGUGUUCCCCAUUUCAUGCUUCCAGUCAUAUCUUUGACCCAUGUCGUGAAUUCUUUUCCUUUUUUAAACCCCACUUGUGGUACUUGAACAUUAUUUUUUAUGUAAUAAUAUAGCACAGUCUCAUAACGAAGCACGGAAAUCGAAGCUAGUUAUAUAUAAUACCACAUACAUCUAAACUGAUAAAAGAAUCAUGUGACUUUCAUAUUUUGAUACUACUAGAUCUUAAUGUUAAUAGUUUUGUAAUAAAAUUCUAGUUGGUUUCGACAAAUCAACCCAACUCAUUAACCCUAGACCGGUUAGGUUUCAUGUCAAACGAGGUUGGGUAUUAAUUCAAACCUUUUAGAUUUGAUAGGUCAACCCACCACUCGAUUUAUAAAUCCUUCCAUGUAUACUUAUUAUUAUUAUUAUUAUGUCUUUAAUUUUAGUCCAAUUUCUACUAGUUCUUUUACCACUGCCUAUAAUACAAAUUAACAAAAUUUAUACAUGUCAACUAUAUAUAAUCUAUAAAUUUAUUUUUUAAAACCGUGUUUCUCCUCCAAACUCUACUUGAAAAUUAAUAUCUUCUUAUUGAAUAUUCUAUACAUAAAUACUUUGAUUUCAUUUAGAGGGGAGUUUUUGGUUACGAGGUUCUUCAUUUUUGAAAUAAAUUAAUUAAAAUUUAAUUACUUUUAAAGUGAAAAUAUAAAUUACUUUGAUUUUUAAUUUUUUUUUAUAACUUUCAUAAAAAUGAGCUUAUGAUCAAUCAUGAUGAUAACUUAGAGGAAAUUAUAUUUUUAUAUAUUUAUGUAAGCUUAUGAAUAAGCCCUUUAUGACUUGGCAAAUUCUUCCUUAUUUACAAAAAAGAACUAAAAGUGUAUAUAUGGUCAACACUUUUUUAAAAACCUAAACACCUAAGAAAUGAUCGAAUUACAUGUUUAACUAAAGUUUGUCUAAUUAAAGUUUUAACUCCAAAAUUCGAACAAAUAAGUAAAAAACAAACUAUUAGCUAAUUUGAAUUUUAACAAAUGAUUAAAAUAUAAUCAUUGCUUACCAUAUUAUCUUUGAAUCUCAGGAAUGACAGAAAAAAAUUUAUUAUUUUUUGCGAUAACUAUUUUAUAAAGAUUACACCAAGAAGAAAUUUAAUCUUAAUGCAAAAAUAAAUAUAAUAAUUAAUGGUUAAUUUGAAUUAAGGCUAAUAUCCCCUUAAUCAAAGUGUUCAACCAAGCCCCAUAUCCGUAGAGCUUUAAUGUUGGACACCAAGAAUCUAAUGAAAUCCCAUGUAAAAUGUAAUCAUGGAAUUUUAAGCGAAUGAUUAAAAUAUAAUCAUCGCUUCCUAUAUUAAUUAUCUUUGAAUCAUAGGAAUGCCAGUAAUUGUUUUUUAAUUUUUUGCGAUAACUAUUUUAUAAAGAUUACACCAAAAAGAAAUUUAAUCUUAAUGCAAAAAUAAAUAUAAUAAUUAUUGGCUAAUUAAAAUUAAGGUUAAUAUAUAUCCCCUUAAUUAAAGUGUUCAACCAAGCUCCAUAUCCGUAAAGCUUUAACGUUGGGCACCAAGAAUCCAAAUCCCAUGUUAAAUCUAUAAUCCUUUCAAUAGAGGGACAAAUCUAGGAUUAUUGAGACAUGUGAAUCAAUUUUAUUUAUUUAUUUGUAUAAGAAAGUGGAGAAACAAAGAAAUAAUUAAAACAUAUCAAGUAAUAUAUUAAUUAUUAUAUAAUUACUUUUUCUUAAGGAGUGAACUUUGACAUUUCUCUAAGAAAAUCGAACUUGAAAUUAUAAUUUUGAAAUCCAGACCAGCUCAAAGAUAUUUUUUAAUUAGGGUGUUUUCCAAAAUCUCUUCCGAGCAUGCAAGAGCACCGAAAGGUGAAUGUGAAAGAGAGGACAACAAAACGCCUCCUAAUAACUACAAAAAAAUGGAGGUAUCUUAAUUUGAGCUAUCAAUUCUCAACUUAGUUUACCGAAACACUUUUCAACAAAAGUGGAAUAUUGGAUCUUCUUUUAGAGUAGGUAAAAGCAUUAUGAAUUAUGGAGAUUUAAGCUUCACAAAUUGCACGCUUUGUGUCCUCCUAGAAUUCUCAUUACACGUAUCAGCCAGGAAGGCUCCAAACCAUGGGCUCCUGAGAUUUUCAAGAGAGGACAACAAAACGCCGCCUAAUAACUACAAAAAAAUGGAGGUUUCUUAAUUUGAGCUAUCAAUUCUCAACUUUGUUUACCGAAAGGUGAAUGUGAAAGAGAGGACAACAAAACGCCUCCUAAUAACUACAAAAAAAUGGAGGUAUCUUAAUUUGAGCUAUCAAUUCUCAACUUAGUUUACCGAAACACUUUUCAACAAAAGUGGAAUAUUGGAUCUUCUUUUAGAGUAGGUAGGAGCAUUAUGAAUUAUGGAGAUUUAAGCUUCACAAAUUGCACGCUUUCUGUCCUCCUAGAAUUCUCAUUACACGUAUCAGCCAGGAAGGCUCCAAACCAUGGGCUCCUGAGAUUUUCACUAAGGGUUGAAGAGACUUCGAGUGAUCUCUCUUUUGCCUAGACCAAUCCACCAAGUAUAAGCCACUGUGGAACCACUAUUUCCACCGAGACAAAAAAAUAAUACACCAACAAAUUUUGGCGAGGAACAAAUUGUAACAUAAACUAAAAAUUAUCGGUGUUUUACUAUGAAAUGUACAGUGCAAUCUACAGUAAGACAAAAUACUAAUACCUUAGUUUUAGUUUUUUUUUAGCUGUUUUUUUAUGCCUUUUGAGAUUUUUUUUUAUUUCUUUUUUUUUCUUUUAACAAAUUUUUUUUAUUUAAUUUAGUUUGUUAAUGUUAAUUUUUUUUUUAGUUAUCAGACUUUUAUGACAUGUUUUUCGGGUUUAACGGAUUAACCUAGUUUGACAAGUUAACCCAUAUUUUUUUUUUCUUUUUAAUUAAUUUUUUUUCCGUUUAGUUUAGUUUGUUAAUGUUAAAUUUCUUUUUAUUUAGUUAUCAGGCUUUCAUGACACAUAUCAUGAGUUUCACGGGUUAACCUGAUUUCACGGGCGAACCCAGUUAAUUCUGGAUUGACCCGUCAAAUUUUUUUUGUUUUUUUUAUUUCAUAAUUUUUUGUUUAAUUUAGUUUAAUAAUAUUAAUUUUUUUUAUUUAGUUAUCAGACUUUCAUGAUAUAGAUCCUAAAUUUAACGGGUUAACAUUGUUUGAUGAGUGAAUUCAAUAUAUUUUUUUUACUUAAUUCAGUUUGUUAAUGUUCAUUGGUUCUAUAGGAAAAUGGAUGGGUCUUUACAAUAUUUUUAGAUAUAAGAGAAAAAGGAUGUCAACAUAUGCAUGAAUAAAAAAUACCACGUGAUUUUAUCCCAAUUUUCUAACAAAAAAAACCUCUGCAAUUUGUUGCAUAUACAGUAGAUUUGACCAUGACUAAAUUAUUUUGAUAAGGAAGACUCACCCUCUCCUGUGAUUAAUCAUCUUUGCUGGGUAGAGAUACGGCGUGAUUUGAUUACCACCAAAAACAAAAUCUGAUAAAUCUUGAUUAAAAUAUGCAACUAAUCCAGGAUUAGUCCCCGACUUUAUAAACGAAUCAGAUGCAUUGCUUCCCAUCACCAUCCUUCAACGAACAGAAGAGCAGUGAGCUUACGGCAGAUUAAACAAAAGCAUUCCAAAAUUUGUUAUCGGUAUGCAUGUAGGUUUCAAUCCCAGUAGAUAAAGAGUUAUGCUUACAUAAACAUACAAAACAAUAUAAUAUUAUUAUUGUUGUUGUUAUUAUUAUUAUCAUUAUUAUUUUUUUGGGUAUUUUUAAAAUAUUGACCUAGUUCUCACGGCUUUAAUAAAUUAGUUAUUAAAACCAAAAUGCAUGCUAAAACACACACACUUGUUGCAUGAAAAUAUGAUUUGAUGAUUUUUAUUUUAUUUUUGAGAUACUGGCCGUAUGCAUGAAAACAAAAUAUUUUUUUUUUGUUUUAUAAUUUUUUGCAAUGUUUUGAUGAAAACAGGGUAUUUUAAUACCGCAUUUGUAUCUUUACAAUAUAAAAAUACAAACCAAUAUCAAGCAAAAUUCUGUAACAAAAUAUACAGAAAAAUCACAAAUUUUUCCAAAAUUUUUUUUUUUGAAAAUUUUUGUGACUAGGUUGGUCUCGGCCCAAAAACAAAUCUAGGCCAAAUCCCACUGCUGCAUGAACAGUGGGCGUGAAUUAUAAUUCACGUCCAUUGUUCAUGCAUGAAUAGAAGGUGUGAAUUCACGCCUAUUGUUCACGCAGUGAACAACUGGGACGAAAAAGAAGAAGAAGAGGAAGAAGAAGGGGGGGGAGAAGGCUGACCUGCGGUGGUUCUAAAGGUGGCGGAGGACAACAUUGUGCAAGCGGUGGCGGCUGAUGAUGGCAUCGACAGAAAGAAAGAAGAAGAAAAAAAUCUGUAAGGGGAGAGGACUUGCGACUGCUGUGGCUGGAUGGUGGCUGUGUUGGCUUCCUACGGUGGAGAUAGCAGCUGAAAAACUAACGGUUAUGACAGUGGUGAUCUGGACGGUGGAGAGAGAGAAUGUGUGAAGAGACAGACGACAGAAACGGAAAAAUUCUAGGGAGGAAAGCUGGUUUGUUGGCUGUCUUUGGACUCAAAUUUCUCACCUCAUGGAGCAUGAAGAUCAAAUCUAUUUAUAGACGGUGAAAGAGAAACACUUUGUUUUUUUUAGUGUAAAAUCUCAGCCGUUGAUUUGACCCGAAAACAUCCUAAUCAUUAGCUCAAAGUAAUAACGAUGACCUACCAGUUUUAUAUAGGAAAAAUGACUGGUCAGAAUUGUUGAUGGGUACAACUUGCCAUUGCUCGUUGUCCCUCAAGGAGGUUCUGGUCCGAAUUGUACAAGCACAGGAUGCGUUGUGGAUUUGAACGAGUCGUGCCCUUCAGAGCUUCAGGUUACUAGUACGGAAGGGGAAAGCGUGGCCUGUAAAAGCGCUUGUGAAGCUUUUGGGUCUCCACAGUACUGUUGCAAUGGAGCAUACAGUGCACCUGCUACCUGCGGGCCUUCUACGUAUUCUGAGAUUUUUAAGAACGCCUGUCCACGCGCCUACAGCUAUGCUUACGAUGAUAAGACCAGUACCCUCACUUGUGCCUCCGCUGACUACCAAAUUACCUUCUGCCCCUCCCCUAACACCAGGUAAACUUAUUUUUCACUGCUGUCAAUUCUCACAACGAUUGGAAGUAGUUUUGUCAAUAGAGACGUUAAAAAAAGCCUGUCAACAUGACUUUUUUAUUUUUAUUUUUUUUAAUUUCAACCUUCAAUCAAAUAUAAAAUUUAAUUUACAUUUCAAUUUUAAUUUUUAAUUUUUUCAUAUAAUUAAAAUUUAUUUUUAAUUUUUAAUGAUAAAAUAAAAAUUCACCUACAUGUUUUUUAUAUAAAAUGCUUUGGUUCGGAUGAUCCUGCAACUUUCAACCUUAGCAACUUUAGCAGACUAACACUAGUUUAAGAUAGUUUUUAUGGUUAUGAUUUGAAAAAAAAUUAUUUUAUAAAAAAUAUAUUUAAUUAAGGUUGGUUUAAUAUUUAUAUAUGUUUGGUUAAAAUUGUAAUUAAAAUUGAGGUUGAAUAAAAAAUAAUUUAAUGUGUUUAAUUGAGAAUGCUUUUUAAAUUAAGGUUAUAAAAUAAAAAAAAUAUAUUAAUAUUAAUGAUUUUAAAUUUAAAUAUUGUAAAUUUAAUUACCACUAUUACAUCAUAAAAUAAAUAAUAUUUUAUAUAAAAUAAUUUUUUACUGUUCCAUUAAAAUAUCUACAAUUCUAUUAAGUAUAAAAUUCAUUCGAUAAAAACUAUAGUUUCCAUGGAUUUUUGAGUAUAUAAUAAAAUUAGAUAAAAUAUUAUCAGGAAUAAAAUUGAGAUUACAGUGCGAGUGAAUUUAAUUCACUCUACACUAGUUUUUUUAAUAAUUAAUUAUAAAAAAAUAAAACUAAAACUAAAUAAUAAAAAAAUUAAAUUUUUUUUUACCUAAAGUUGCUUAACUGGACAUGAAAAAAAUUUAUAUAAGGAAGAGAGUAGCUAAAAAAAAGAAUAGAAAAGCUCUUGAAUAGUUAACCAAAAAAAAGAGAAAAGUUUAGGGAAAUGAGAAAUGUUAUAUAUAUUAUUUAUUAUAUUAAGACACAUGUCAACAAUGUGUAAACCCUCACCAUAUUAUUAUAUUAAUUAAAAAAAAAUUAAGCGGGCGAUUUCUUCCUUUUGCUUCUACCCGUCACUGUCGUUACAUUGACUUGAGUCGAAAAAAACAAAAACAGAAAACAGAAAACCCACCAAACGCAAAAAAAGAAAACCCACCCAACGCCUUGGAAUUACGGCUGUUCGCUAUCUUUAGCACUAUAAAUACUGCUCAUGCUGCUGCACAUAGCACUCAAAAUCUUAACCCUCUCCAAACUGUUCCUUUGGUCAGUCACUUGGUCUUGAAAAAUGGCGAGAUUCUCAAAGGUACUCAGGAAGACUGAUAUUCAAAAGAGACUAUCAGUGCCGACCGGGUUUCUCAGCUCUCUUCCAUCGUUUAAUGGUGGUGCUCAUGCUGUAGAUUUUCAAGCUGUAGAUGGAAGUGGACGUGUUUGGACCUUCAGAUGCUCGAUUCGCAGGAAUGGACAUCCAAAACCAGUUAUUUCAAAGGGUUGGCUCGCUUAUGUUCAUAGCAAGAGCCUUAAAGUUGGUGACAAGGUCCAGUUUUUAAAGGAGAAAAACGACGCUGGCGCCAAAACACAUGCUUACGAGAUUCGGGGUGAGAAAGAAAUCAAGAUAUUUGGUGCUGUUUUCGGAUAUGCACCCAUAAUAUAGCUCCGUCUGCUAAAGACUUCUCAAACAGGGCUUGUUUUUUGUAUCAGUAUUUAACCAAAAAAAAAGCUCAAACCUAGCCAUGCUGUUGUUCUGAGUCUUCUUGUUACGUUGUCUACAUGUUACUGCUGUUUCUAUAUUUCGGUGUUGUCAACUUGUGCUAUUAUCGAAGUAAAAUAAAUUCUCAAUUUGUUCGUGUCAAACAGUGUGAUUGUGAGGCAUUUGACUGUGUCUCAAACGGUGAUUCAAGCUCCAUUUCUAAUUUCUUCUUUUCGCUAGAGGGCACGACUUCUUUUGUUCAUUUUUGUUUUACUCAUGUUCAGUUCUCCCCUUAAUUUCUUUUUCUAAACCAAUCCGACAGAUGACAAAGGAGACGAUGCACCGGAAGGCAGAAGAAAAAUGAGAGAAGGGUGCUGCAACGGAGAAAGACUACAACGGAGGCAACAGCACCAUCACCAACAAGCGAGUGUCUCACCGAUUAGGAGGUGGCCAAUCAGUCAACGUCACGUUAAAUCAGCAUCACCACCAGCAGAAGCAGGAGGUCUGUCACCACUGGAGAGCUGGAAAGUGCAAUAGAUUCCCAUGUCCGUCUCUUGGAGAGCUGGAAAGUGCAAUAGAUUCCCAUGUCCGUCUCUCCACCGUGAACUGCCACCGCCGCCGCCGCAUGCGUCUGUGAAGGAGGGAGGUGGGGGAGGAGCGAAGAGAGGAGUUAUCGGGAAUGAUUCGUCGUCGUUCUCUUGGAGGGGGUAGUAAUAGUAAUAGUAAUUAUUGUAUUAGUUGGGGGCAAUUUGGGCAUAAAGGUCAAAGUGGUAAAAAGGGAAAGUGCGGAGAAAGUGUGCUAAUUGGGUACAAGGGAAUUGAGAUUUUGGUGGUAAGUGUCAGUGUAAUAUUUGCUUUCUUGGGAGCUUAGGUGAUUGGUUGACUCAAUGUGAUUCUGUAGUGUUUUGUGUAAUGGGUUUUUGUGGGUUUUGGAUUUGGUGAUUGAUUUAGGGGGUUUUGAUGUGAGCCGGUGAUGCAUUGUCAUCUGGGGCUGAUAAGCUUUAUACAGGGAGUAAGGACAGGUUUGAGUUUUACUCUUUUCAGCUUGGAUUUUAGCUAAUAUUUUCAGUUGACAUUGAAAUUUAUGGCUGUGAUUGAAUUGUAUUUUAUGCUGUUGAUUUGAGCACUGGUGUUUCAAAUUGAUGUCUCUAAUGUUUGUAUUGGAUCAAUUAUCCAAUUUCUGUUAAAGCAAAGACUAUGAUUAUAUUGAGAUAUUUAAAAGCAAGAUGCGAGUUGCUUCAAGCUUCAAUAUUUUCUUUUCUGUAGUUUUUCCUUGCGGAUACUGCAAUUUCAAUUAGAUAUUUGCUUGAGAGAAGAAAGUUAUUUUUAUCUACUGUUUUUUAAGACUAUGAUUUUGUUGGCCUUCCAAAUGUUGUCAAGGUUAGGCAAGCCUUUCUCAUUGUUUUUUUUUCACUCCAAUCCCAAUUUGUAACAAUGCUUAGAACAAAUUUACCUCCAUGGGAGUGGCUCUGACACAGUUUUUUUUUUUUUGCAUGCAUGGAGUACGCAUGUGUAUGCUUUGUUCGUGGGUAAUUACUUGUUUUUUUGCCGGUACGCAAGUGAUAUUUUUCUUUCCUGGGCCUGUAUUAUCCUUAAAAGUUGUAUCGAUUCUCAUGUUCUCUCGUAUCGAGACCUAAUAUCUCAUUUCUGCAUCAGUUUGUUUCCUUCGAUGAAAAGGGCUGCUUUGGUGCAAGGAAGCAGGGACAUUAAUAAUUCAAAGCAGGGUCAUUUUUUGGUGGUAGGAGAGUUUGUGAUGAAAUAACUCGUCAGGGAAGAAUAUUGAUGCAGAGGCAAUAUACAUCGAAUUUGGUUGACAGCGAGGCGCUUGAGGUGAAUCUUUUUCUUUUUUUCCCCACAUGAACUUUUUCAUUGUUUUCCUGUUUUUUUUUUGCUUGAUUGUAAUUUUAACAUGAGACAUUUAUGUUGUUCUACCUCCUUUUGUAAUUUGUGCAGGCAAGAUGGUACUGCUCAAUUCUCAAUUUUCAGAUCUAUCUUGCGGUGAUUUUACUGUUCCAUCUCUUUUGGGAAUUCUUUGAAGGCAAAACGGUACAACUCUAUUGCCAGUUUUCCAGCUUCACUUUGCUUUAAUUUCACUGUUGUUUGUGCUUGGAUUUUUACCAGUAGCUGAUGAUUCAGGAAAAACGAUGUGUGUGUGUGUUUCAAUCAUCACUAAACGGCAUGUUUAUUAAGCGCCAAGAUUGCUCAAACUUCUACUACAACGUUACGCCUCCACUUUCCUUUUCAAUAUGCGUUUUGAUCCCCUUCCCCUGUUGGCAGCCUACACACAAUACGAUAAUGUUUAGCUGUUACCUUAUGAAUACGAUAAUGGUGCGUUUCUUUACCUUGGCCGCAUCCUUUACCAGAUCAGUUCCACUUGUUAGGAUUGUCAAUUGAGGUGAGUUUAACUAAAAUUUCUUGCUUUGCAUACUAUGUUUUAGGAAAAACGAUGUGUGUGUGUGUUUCAAUCAUCACUAAACGGCAUGUUUAUUUAGCGCUAAGAUUGCUCAAACUUCUACUACAUAAUUACUCCUCCACUUUCCUUUUCAAUAUGCAUUUUGAUCCCCUUCCCCUGUUGGCAGCCUACACACAAUACGAUAAUGUUUAUUAAGCCCGCUGUUACCUCGGAGAGCUUGGACGUGAUACUGCAAUGAUUUUUAGAAGUUCGUCAAUGUCAUGAUAUUCACCUUCUCAAAUGCAUGGAUGGGAUGGAAAUAAUGGCGUGUUUAGGGAUGAACCACAUGCAUAUGGGCAAGAAUGGGACCAGAAUAGGCAUCAGUUGAAUGGUAGGGGAUGGGAAACUGGCACUGAUAUAUGGAAAACACAAAAUGGUGAUGUGAAUAUGGACUCGCCAGCAGCUUCUGUGAAAGAGGAUUUUCCAGUGCAGGCACCUAUGGAGAAUCUUUCGGCUGGACAAGUAGGUCACGAGUCGCAAAAUGAAAAUACUCAUCAAAAGGUCCAAGCUGAAAUUGUAGAAACAAAGUCAGCUGUUGCUUCAGCAAAAGAAUCUUCGAGGUCUAUGCCUAAAACUACCCUUGAGAAGAUGCCUGAUCCGCCUAAAAUGCAAAGUAGUGAUGAUAGGAGUCAUUUUGCCCGUUCUUAUUUCUCUAAGCUGGACAUUUCAACAGAACUUGCCAGUCCAGAGUUGUAUAGCCAAUGUAUGAGUUUGCUCAGCAUGGAGCAGGGUGCAAAUGCUGAUGAAGAUAUUGUUAUGCUUGUAAACUUGAAGGCAAGAGACUCUAUUUGUCAUGCACGGCCUUGUAUGUGUAUGCGUACCUUGUUCUGUUUAUAAUUUAUUUUUAUGCUAUUGUGAUGUGAUAGGAUGGUGCAAGAGCAGUGCCAAAAAGUUUCGAUUCCAUUUUCAGCCUUUCACUUCUUCCUGCCACAAAAGAUUCUGUUUUUCAGGUAAAAUCAUCAACUAUAUAACAAAUUAUUUGUGAUUAGUCUGUGCAUGUUUGUGAAUCCAGUCAUGAUCAAUUGGAGUCAUUUGAAGAAGCACGGUGAAUUUUUUUUUGUGACCUUCUAUCUACUUAUUUUUGCUUGAUCAACCAGGAUUUUGUACUUGUUAAGUGGAAGCAAAAAUUGCAUAGGCGUUUAGUUAAUGAGAGUUUAGUUAAUGAGAGCUUGCAGCUUGUGAUGCCUACCUUUCUUUUGCUCCUAAUUACGAUUGCUAGAUCUGUUUUUUUCCAACCCAUGCAUAAUUAUUGUUCAUAUACAGAAAUAUCUUUCAGAUAUACAAGCAUCUUGCCACUGUGUUAAUGAGGAAAAUGCGUAUUUCUAUUGAGAUCUGGUAAAAAAAUAGGGGAGAGAUUGGAUGAAGGAUAAUAACCAAAGGAAUGGAUGGUAUAUAAAGCAUGAUCUAAUGGAUUUGGGCUGCACUUCUUUUUGUUGGUGUUGCAACAUUUGAAUAUCGCUGUCAUUUCCAAUAUGAUUCUGUCCAACUGCAAACAGUAUUUGACUUGGUCUUAACUUUAUUUUUCAUAUUAUGCUUCUCAAUAGUUUUUAGAUUAAUUCUUAAGUGCCAAUUCUUUCACUGAGAUUCUGGUUCCUUCCUUGCAGAGAGCCAUGGAUUACUACAAGAAGGAGAGACCAGGUCUGAGUGGCUUGCCAAUUGUUAAUGGUGGAACAAUAAAUGCUAUUUCAACUACCAAAGUAAAAGAUGAGCCUAUUGAUGAUGGGCAUAAAGCAGAAGAACUGGUUUUAAAUCAGGAUGAAGAAAUGCAUGACGUUCCUGAGCUGAAUUUAGAUCAGAAGAAAGCUGAAGAUGUUCUACUAGCUGAUACCCAUGAGGAACCAGUAGAACUUGUUUCGAAGGAUUAUGCUCAGGCUCCCACCCCCUCCCAGGAUUUUCCUGUUCAAGCUCUUAGUCAAGAUAAUCUGGAAAAGCCUGUAGAAAUUCCUAGUGGUAAUAAGAUUGAUGGGGUGCCAUCAGAAGGUGUAAAGGGAAGCAUCCCAAGCCCUGAUAAUGCAUCCCAAGCUUCCUCCAUUUCACCUGCUGAAGGUGUAGAAGAUAAUGCUUUGCAAUGUGCUGAAGAAGGGCGGGGGUCGGGUGAUGCAGUAUGUGGUCCUUUAUUUUUUUCGGAUGAUUCUCUCAAGGCAUCUGGGGCUUUGAUGCCUGGAUCAAAUGAGUCUGAGUCGGU
rnacentral:lncRNA from 1 species